rnacentral:tRNA from 2 species
GCCUCCGUGGCGCAAUCGGCUAGCGCGUUCGGCUGUUAACCGAAAGGUUGGUGGUUCGAGACCACCCGGGGGCG